CCUUCAAAGACAUCUGCCAGGAGUCUAAGAAGCAUCCUCUCUUCCAGCUCUCAGAGAUGAAACCAGACACACUCCUGCUAUGGAUGCUGCUCCUCUGGGUUCCAGGUUCUGGUGGGGACAUUGUGCUGACCCAGUCUCCAGCUUUGUUGGCCAUGUCACUCGGUCAACAGGCCACCAUUUCCUGCAAGGCCAGUCAGAGUGUGCAUGACUUUACUUUUGGCAUUAGUUUUAUGCAUUGGUACCAACAGAAACCAGGACAGCCACCCAAACCCCUCAUCUACACUGCGUCCAACCUAGAAUCUGGCGUUCCUGCCAGGUUCAGGGGCAGUGGGUCUGGGACAGACUUCACUCUCACCAUCAAUCCUGUGGAGGCUGAUGAUGCUGCAACCUAUUACUGUCAGCAUAGUAAGGAGCUUCCUCCCACAGUGCUCCAGGGCUGA